AGAGUUUGAUCCUGGCUCAGGAUGAACGCUAGCGGCAGGCCUAACACAUGCAAGUCGAACGGUAACAGGAUGUGCUUGCACAUCGCUGACGAGUGGCGGACGGGUGAGUAAUGCUUGGGAACUUGCCUUUGCGAGGGGGAUAACAGUUGGAAACGACUGCUAAUACCGCAUAAUGUCUACGGACCAAACGGGGCUUCGGCUCCGGCGCAAAGAGAGGCCCAAGUGAGAUUAGCUAGUUGGUAAGGUAACGGCUUACCAAGGCGACGAUCUCUAGCUGUUCUGAGAGGAAGAUCAGCCACACUGGGACUGAGACACGGCCCAGACUCCUACGGGAGGCAGCAGUGGGGAAUAUUGCACAAUGGGGGAAACCCUGAUGCAGCCAUGCCGCGUGUGUGAAGAAGGCCUUCGGGUUGUAAAGCACUUUCAGUUGUGAGGAAAAGUUAGUAGUUAAUACCUGCUAGCCGUGACGUUAACAACAGAAGAAGCACCGGCUAACUCCGUGCCAGCAGCCGCGGUAAUACGGAGGGUGCGAGCGUUAAUCGGAAUUACUGGGCGUAAAGCGCACGCAGGCGGUUUGUUAAGCUAGAUGUGAAAGCCCCGGGCUCAACCUGGGAUGGUCAUUUAGAACUGGCAGACUAGAGUCUUGGAGAGGGGAGUGGAAUUCCAGGUGUAGCGGUGAAAUGCGUAGAUAUCUGGAGGAACAUCAGUGGCGAAGGCGACUCCCUGGCCAAAGACUGACGCUCAUGUGCGAAAGUGUGGGUAGCGAACAGGAUUAGAUACCCUGGUAGUCCACACCGUAAACGCUGUCUACUAGCUGUGUGUGUCUUUAAGACGUGCGUAGCGAAGCUAACGCGCUAAGUAGACCGCCUGGGGAGUACGGCCGCAAGGUUAAAACUCAAAUGAAUUGACGGGGGCCCGCACAAGCGGUGGAGCAUGUGGUUUAAUUCGAUGCAACGCGAAGAACCUUACCUACACUUGACAUGCUGAGAAGUUACUAGAGAUAGUUUCGUGCCUUCGGGAACUCAGACACAGGUGCUGCAUGGCUGUCGUCAGCUCGUG
rnacentral:rRNA from 1 species